UAUCAUUGUUCUUUACACUUUGCUUGUUCUUUAUGCCACAUUACUUUACAUCACCUCUAGCCAUUAUCAUUAUUCUUUACAUCACAUUGCUUUGCCUUGCCUCAAGCCAUUAUCAUUAGGUUCUCACAUUAAAUCUCAUGCAUACACAUAGAUUAUUUAGAUUCUUAAUCAUUCUAAUAAGCACGUGUACUCACAUCAUGCAACAUUACAUUAUUAUCAUCACAUUAUUUUACAUUAUCUUUAGCCAUUAUCAUUAUUCUUUACAUCACAUUUAUUCUUUGUUGUCCCACACUAACUCUAGUGUC
rnacentral:lncRNA from 1 species